rnacentral:rRNA from 1 species
GAUGAACGCUGGCGGUCUGCUUAACACAUGCAAGUCGAACGAACUCUUCGGAGUGAGUGGCGGACGGGUGAGUAACGCGUGAGAAUCUGCCUGUGGGUCGGGGACAACCACUGGAAACGGUGGCUAAUACCGGAUGAGCCGAAAGGUAAAAAAUUUAUUGCCCACAGAUGAGCUCGCGUCUGAUUAGCUAGUUGGUAAGGUAAAAGCGUACCAAGGCGACGAUCAGUAGCUGGUCUGAGAGGAUGAGCAGCCACACUGGGACUGAGACACGGCCCAGACUCCUACGGGAGGCAGCAGUGGGGAAUUUUCCGCAAUGGGCGAAAGCCUGACGGAGCAAGACCGCGUGGGGGAGGAAGGUUUUUGGAUCGUAAACCCCUUUUGUCAAGGAAGAAGUUCUGACGGUACUUGACGAAUAAGCCUCGGCUAACUCCGUGCCAGCAGCCGCGGGUAAUACGGAGGAGGCAAGCGUUAUCCGGAAUGAUUGGNCGUAAAGCGUCUGUAGGUGGCCAGCUAAGUCUGCUGUUAAAGAUCACAGCUCAACUGUGGAAGGCAGUG